rnacentral:rRNA from 1 species
AGAGUUUGAUCCUGGCUCAGGAUGAACGCUAGCUACAGGCUUAACACAUGCAAGUCGAGGGGCAGCAUGGUCUUAGCUUGCUAAGGCCGAUGGCGACCGGCGCACGGGUGAGUAACACGUAUCCAACCUGCCGUCUACUCUUGGACAGCCUUCUGAAAGGAAGAUUAAUACAAGAUGGCAUCAUGAGUCCGCAUGUUCACAUGAUUAAAGGUAUUCCGGUAGACGAUGGGGAUGCGUUCCAUUAGAUAGUAGGCGGGGUAACGGCCCACCUAGUCUUCGAUGGAUAGGGGUUCUGAGAGGAAGGUCCCCCACAUUGGAACUGAGACACGGUCCAAACUCCUACGGGAGGCAGCAGUGAGGAAUAUUGGUCAAUGGGCGAGAGCCUGAACCAGCCAAGUAGCGUGAAGGAUGACUGCCCUAUGGGUUGUAAACUUCUUUUAUAAAGGAAUAAAGUCGGGUAUGCAUACCCGUUUGCAUGUACUUUAUGAAUAAGGAUCGGCUAACUCCGUGCCAGCAGCCGCGGUAAUACGGAGGAUCCGAGCGUUAUCCGGAUUUAUUGGGUUUAAAGGGAGCGUAGAUGGAUGUUUAAGUCAGUUGUGAAAGUUUGCGGCUCAACCGUAAAAUUGCAGUUGAUACUGGAUAUCUUGAGUGCAGUUGAGGCAGGCGGAAUUCGUGGUGUAGCGGUGAAAUGCUUAGAUAUCACGAAGAACUCCGAUUGCGAAGGCAGCCUGCUAAGCUGCAACUGACAUUGAGGCUCGAAAGUGUGGGUAUCAAACAGGAUUAGAUACCCUGGUAGUCCACACGGUAAACGAUGAAUACUCGCUGUUUGCGAUAUACAGCAAGCGGCCAAGCGAAAGCGUUAAGUAUUCCACCUGGGGAGUACGCCGGCAACGGUGAAACUCAAAGGAAUUGACGGGGGCCCGCACAAGCGGAGGAACAUGUGGUUUAAUUCGAUGAUACGCGAGGAACCUUACCCGGGCUUAAAUUGCAGAUGAAUUACGGUGAAAGCCGUAAGCCGCAAGGCAUCUGUGAAGGUGCUGCAUGGUUGUCGUCAGCUCGUGCCGUGAGGUGUCGGCUUAAGUGCCAUAACGAGCGCAACCCUUGUUGUCAGCUACUAACAGGUUCUGCUGAGGACUCUGACAAGACUGCCAUCGUAAGAUGUGAGGAAGGUGGGGAUGACGUCAAAUCAGCACGGCCCUUACGUCCGGGGCUACACACGUGUUACAAUGGGGGGUACAGAGGGCCGCUACCACGCGAGUGGAUGCCAAUCCCCAAAACCUCUCUCAGUUCGGACUGGAGUCUGCAACCCGACUCCACGAAGCUGGAUUCGCUAGUAAUCGCGCAUCAGCCACGGCGCGGUGAAUACGUUCCCGGGCCUUGUACACGCCGCCCGUCAAGCCAUGGGAGCCGGGGGUACCUGAAGUGCGUAACCGCGAGGAGCGCCCUAGGGUAAAACUGGUGACUGGGGCUAAGUCGUAACAAGGUA